rnacentral:lncRNA from 1 species
AAGCCACAGAAUUGCUGAGUUGGAAGAGGCUAACAGAUCAUGGAGUCCAACUUUCCAAUCAGCAGUGCCUUCCAUAAUCCUCAUUCCUGUACUGCUCUUGAAAGAAGAAAAAAAUCUUAAUUGAGAGAAUAAAAAUGUUGCACUUUUUAUUUUCUGUUCAGGGAGGGUCUUCUGUCAGUGAUAAUGGCAAUGAAUCCUAUGGUCAGGAUGGAUCUUCUGCAUAUGGUGGCACUGCCUCUUAUGGUCAGGACUCACCAUCCAUGGGAGUUAGUGAAUCUGAUUACAGUGAUUCCGCCUCAUCAUCUUACAACCGUCAGAGUGAACGGGAUUUUUAUUCCCCUGGAGGCAGCCAGUCAGGUGGACAUGGAUUAUCUUCUCAAGGUGGUGGCUACUCCGGUGGACAGGGCUCAUCCUCAUUAGGAAGCAACCAGUAUGGUGGGCAGGGUAUGCCUUCAAGAGGCAGCCAGUCUGGUGGACAGGGUGGAUGUGAUUGCUCUGGUGCAAGCUCUACUGGAUCAUAUUCCUCACACAGAAGUAAUUCCUCUUCAAAUGACACAUCUUAUUCUGGAGGAAGCCAUUACAGUAGCUAUGAUUCCUCUUCACCAUCUUACAACCGUCAGAAUGAACGGGAGUCAUAUUCUUCUGGAGCUAGUCAAUAUGGUGGACAAGGAUUUCCAUCUCGUGGAAGCAGCCAGUAUGGUGGACAAGGCUUUUCUUCAGGAGGUGGACAGGGUAUGCCUUCAAGAGGCAGCCAGUCUGGUGGACAGGGUGGAUGUCAUUGUCCUGGUGGGAGCCCGGGCUCUUUUGGAGGAAGCAACUACCAUGGUGGACAGGGCUCAUCUUAUUCUGGAGGCCGACAGCAUGGUAAACCAGUAAGUAAAAACUUAUCAAGUUUUCCUUAUAUUUUUCUCAUUACUCUGUUAUAUACAAAAAGAGUUUUUUU